GGUUCUAUGGUAUAAUGGUUAGCACGUUGGUUUUUGAUUGGUUUCAGAGACUACUACCGGAGAUCUGGGUUCAAUUCCCAGUAGAGCCU
rnacentral:tRNA from 1 species